GGGUCUCUUCUUCUCUUACAACCCUUAUUAUUAUUAUUAUUAUUAUUAUUAUUAUUAUUAUUAUUAUUAUUAUUAUUAUUAUUAUUAUUAUACAUUAAGGCUGGGUGGCCAUCUGUCAGGGGUGCUUUGCUUGUGCUUUUGGUGCACAAAGGCAGAAGGGAAUUGGAGUCAAUGGCCCAAGGGGUCUCUUCCAACCCUCUUUAUUAUUAUUAUUAUUAUUAUUAUUAUUAUUAUUAUUAUUAUUAUUAACAUUGAGGCUGGGUGGCCAUCUGUCAGGGGUGCUUUGCUUGUGCUUUUGGUGCACAAAGGCAGAAGGGAAUUGGAGUCAAUGGCCCAAGGGGUCUCUUCCAACCCUCUUUAUUAUUAUUAUUAUUAUUAUUAUUAUUAUUAUUAUUAUUAUUAUUAACAUUGAGGCUGGGUGGCCAUCUGUCAGGGGUGCUUUGCUUGUGCUUUUGGUGCACAGAGGCAGAAGGGGGUUGGACUCAAUGGCCCAAGAGGUCUCUUCCAACCCUCUUUUUUAUUAUUAUUGCUAUUAUUAUUAUUUUAUGACACAGCAAACAAGAUAGGUAUGCUGGAUUUCAUAUCACAAAAUCACAAGUCGAACACUUCCCAAGUGUCUAGGACUGUGUGAUGUAUGGGUGGCCUUUUGCAGCUGGCAGAUCGUAAUUUUGUCAAUGUCUAUUGUUUCCAAAUGCCGGCUGAGAUCUUUUGGCACGGCACCCAGUGUGCCCAUCACCACCGGGACCACCUGCACUGGUUUCUGCCAGAGUCUUUGAAGUUCAAUCUUGAGGUCUUGAUAGCGGCUGAGUUUUUCCUGUUGUUUUUCGUCUAUGCGACUGUCACCUGGGAUGGCGACAUCAAUGAUCCAAACCUUUUUUUUCACCACAACUGUGAUGUCUGGUGUGUUGUGUUCCAGAACUUUGUCAGUCUGGAUUCGGAAGUCCCACAGUAUCUUUGUGUGUUCAUUUUCCACGACAUUUGCUGGUUUGUGAUCCCACCAGUUCUUUGCUGCUGGGAGGUGGUACUUGAGGCAUAAGUUCCAAUGAAUCAUUUAAGCCACAUAGUUGUGCCUCUGUUUGUAGUCUGUCUGUGCAAUUUUCUUACAGCAGCCGAGGAUAUGAUCAAUGGUUUUGUCAGUUUCCUUGCACAGUCUGCAUUUUGGGUCAUCAGCUGAUUUUUCGAUCUUGGCCUUGAUUGCAUUUGUUCUGAUGUCUUGCUCCUGGGCUGCAAGGAUCAGGCUUCUGUCUCCUUCUUCAGGGUCCCAUUCGUGAGCCAUAACCAGGUCUUAUAUUAU
rnacentral:lncRNA from 1 species